GUAACACAGGUGCUGCAUGGCUGUCGUCAGCUCGUGUCGUGAGAUGUUGGGUUAAGUCCCGCAACGAGCGCAACCCUUGUCAUUAGUUGCUACAUUUAGUUGGGCACUCUAAUGAGACUGCCGGUGACAAGCCGGAGGAAGGUGGGGAUGACGUCAAGUCCUCAUGGCCCUUAUAGGUGGGGCUACACACGUCAUACAAUGGCUGGUACAGAGGGUUGCCAACCCGCGAGGGGGAGCUAAUCCCAUAAAACCAGUCGUAGUCCGGAUCGCAGUCUGCAACUCGACUGCGUGAAGUCGGAAUCGCUAGUAAUCGCGGAUCAGAAUGUCGCGGUGAAUACGUUCCCGGGUCUU
rnacentral:rRNA from 1 species